UAUAAAUAUUAAUUCUUGCAAACAAAAACAAUAAUAUGUGUACAAAAAGAAGUACAAAAUAUAGCAUGUCACCACUAGGGGAAAAAAAGUUUACUACAAGACAAGAAUCUUUUUGUCUUUUGUGCAUUUGGUACUAGGGGUGGGCAAAAUACUCGAUCCGACCUAACCCGAUUCGAAAAAUUUCGGGUUCAGAUCAGAUCGGAUUGUGAAUAGAACCCGAUCAGGUGCAAUUGUGUCAACCCGAUCGAGUCGUGUUCGGAUGGGUUGAAACCCGAUCCGAUCCAAAAACCCGAUCGGGUUGACACAAAAUUAAAAAAAAAAUACAAAAUAAAAAAUUAUAACCUAAAGGCCCAAACCUUAUCCUAACCAUUGUAUAUGGCACAACUGCACAAGCACUCAAGCAGCAGUGAGCAGCCCACUGCUGAAUGAUGCGUCAUCCACCCACAGGCAACGGCCUCCCUCGCUUGCAACUUGGAACCCACCACCGACAACCACACAGCUCGUCACCUGCAACUUGGAACCCACCACCGGCAGCCACAUAGCCCGUUGCCUACAAUAUCCUCCCUCAAACAAACAAAUCACACACACACACACAAAGUUAAUGCCUUAAUGGAGAAAGUUGCAGCAGACCACCACGCAACAACCAUCGAGCCUUUGCGAGGAUCGUGAUCUGAUUCUGAUCGACCGAUCUACUGCUACAAAGUACCAGAUCUACUGAGCCACUUCCAAGCCUUCAUUCCUCCACCAUCACCCGAUCUGAUUCAAGCUCCAUUAACCCAGCAAGCAGCAACCCGAUUUUUGACUGUUGAGUUGAGAUUUGGAAGCUUUGAGUUUUGAGCUUUGAAACUUGACGGUGAUGACGUUUGUGAAAGUGAAGUGUUAAAUGUUAAUAAGCAUUUUCCUAAUCUGACCUGUCUCGAACCCGAACCCGAAUUGAUCCGAACUCAAUUCGAUUUUUUAACCUGAUCUGAUUCACUAUAUUCGAAUCGGAUCGGGUUAUAAAUUCGGGUUGAAUUCGGAUGAAUUUUUAUUCAACCCGACCAACCCAAAACCCAAUCGGGUUGAUCCGAACCCGACCCUAACCCAAUUUUGCCCAGCCCUAUUUGUU
rnacentral:lncRNA from 1 species